rnacentral:rRNA from 1 species
GAUGAACGCUGGCGGCGUGCCUAAUACAUGCAAGUCGAGCGAACAGGCGAGGAGCUUGCUCCUCUGACGUUAGCGGCGGACGGGUGAGUAACACGUGGAUAACCUACCUAUAAGACUGGGAUAACUUCGGGAAACCGGAGCUAAUACCGGAUAAUAUAUUGAACCGCAUGGUUCAAUAGUGAAAGACGGUUUUGCUGUCACUUAUAGAUGGAUCCGCGCCGCAUUAGCUAGUUGGUAAGGUAACGGCUUACCAAGGCAACGAUGCGUAGCCGACCUGAGAGCGUGAUCGGCCACACUGGAACUGAGACACGGUCCAGACUCCUACGGGAGGCAGCAGUAGGGAAUCUUCCGCAAUGGGCGAAAGCCUGACGGAGCAACGCCGCGUGAGUGAUGAAGGUCUUCGGAUCGUAAAACUCUGUUAUUAGGGAAGAACAAAUGUGUAAGUAACGAUGCACGUCUUGACGGUACCUAAUCAGAAAGCCACGGCUAACUACGUG